UGGCUCAGGAUGAACGCUGGCGGCGUGCCUAACACAUGCAAGUCGAACGAAGCAACCGGGGCUUGCUCUGGUUGACUUAGUGGCGGACGGGUGAGUAAUGCGUGAGCAACCUGCCUUUCAGAGGGGGACAACAGUUGGAAACGACUGCUAAUACCGCAUAAUGUAUUUAGGGGGCAUCCCCUAGAUACCAAAGGAGCAAUCCGCUGAAAGAUGGGCUCACGUCUGAUUAGUUAGUUGGCAGGGUAACGGCCUACCAAGACUGCGAUCAGUAGCCGGACUGAGAGGUUGAACGGCCACAUUGGGACUGAGAUACGGCCCAGACUCCUACGGGAGGCAACAAUGGGGAAUA
rnacentral:rRNA from 1 species